rnacentral:rRNA from 1 species
UACGGAGGAUCCGAGCGUUAUCCGGAUUUAUUGGGUUUAAAGGGUGCGCAGGCGGAGAGAUAAGUCAGUGGUGAAAAACUGCCGCUCAACGGUAGUCUUGCCAUUGAUACUGUCUUUCUUGAGUAUGGAUGAGGUAGGCGGAAUGUGCAGUGUAGCGGUGAAAUGCAUAGAUAUUGCACGGAACACCAAUUGCGAAGGCAGCUUACUGGACCAUUACUGACGCUCAGGCACGAAAGCGUGGGGAUCAAACA